CUCACAAUGAACGCUGGCGGCGUGCUUAACACAUGCAAGUCGCACGAGAACACCUCAGCUUGCUGGGGUAAGUAAAGUGGCGCACGGGUGAGUAACGCGUGGGUAAUCUGCCCUCGAAUCUGGGAUAACCCCGCGAAAGCGGGGCUAAUACCGGAUGAAAUCCAGUUAGCUUUGGCUAUAUGGAUCAAAGGUGGCCUCUGCAUGCAAGCUACUGUUUGGGGAUGAGCCCGCGUACCAUUAGCUUGUUGGUGGGGUAAAGGCCCACCAAGGCGACGAUGGUUAGCUGGUCUGAGAGGAUGAUCAGCCACACUGGAACUGGAACACGGUCCAGACUCCUACGGGAGGCAGCAGUGAGGAAUUUUGCGCAAUGGGGGUAACCCUGACGCAGCAACGCCGCGUGAGUGAUGAAGGCCUUCGGGUCGUAAAGCUCUGUCAAGUGGGAAGAACCCAUUCCGGCACAACAAGCCGGGGUGCUGACGGUACCACUGAAGGAAGCACCGGCUAACUCCGUGCCAGCAGCCGCGGUAAUACGGAGGGUGCGAGCGUUAUUCGGAAUUACUGGGCGUAAAGGGCGCGUAGGCGGCCGAUUAAGUCAGAUGUGAAAUCCCGGGGCUUACCCCCGGAGGUGCAUUUGAUACUGAACGGCUUGAGUAUGGGAGAGGGAAGUGGAAUUCCUGGUGUAGCGGUGAAAUGCGUAGAUAUCAGGAGGAACACCGGUGGCGAAGGCGACUUCCUGGACCAAUACUGACGCUGAGGCGCGAAGGCGUGGGGAGCAAACCGGGAUUAGAUACCCUGGUAGUCCACGCAGUAAACGGUGAUCACUAGCGGUAGCGGGUAUUGACCCGUGCUGUGCCGGAGUUAACGCAUUAAGUGAUCCGCCUGGGGAGUACGGCCGCAAGGGUUAAAACUCGAAGGGACAUGACGGGGGCCCGCACAAGCGGUGCAGCGUGAUGCUUCAUUUCGACGCAACGCGAAGAACCUUACCUGGAUUUGACAUCUCGGGAAUCCCGCGGAAACGCGGGAGUGCCCUUCGGGGAGCCCGAAGACGGGUGCUGCAUGGCUGUCGUCAGCUCGUGUCGUGAGAUGUUGGGUUAAGUCCCGCAACGAGCGCAACCCCUAUCUUCAGUUACCAGCGAGUAAAGUCGGGGACUCUGGAGAUACUGCCCCGGUCAACGGGGAGGAAGGUGGGGAUGACGUCAAGUCCUCAUGGCCUUUAUGUCCAGGGCUACACACGUGCUACAAUGGGCUGUACAGAGGGAAGCGAUCUCGCGAGGGUGAGCCAAUCCCAAAAAGCAGUCCUCAGUUCGGAUUGGAGUCUGCAACUCGACUCCAUGAAGCUGGAAUCGCUAGUAAUCGCGGAUCAGCAUGCCGCGGUGAAACGUUCCCGGGCCUUGUACACACCGCCCGUCACACCAUGAGAGUUGGCUGUACCAGAAGUCGUCGGGCCAAC
rnacentral:rRNA from 1 species